GAAUUGCUUGGGAUAACACAGCACAUUAUAUUUUAACAUGGGAGUGAGAAUUAAAAAAACAUCAAGUUGUGUCGGAUAGUGACAUAUUUAGCUUACUCGGAGAAUGUCCAGCCUAUCGACAAAUAUAUUCUAUAUUUUGAUGCUAUUAUUGCUCAAUUUGUUAAAGUUUACUCUGAGACAGAGCUAGAGAAAGAGAGAGUGAGAGAGCGCGCGAGUGCGAAAGAGAGGCCCUCGGAUGUUCCACUGGCAGGGGGUAGGGGGUAGCUCCAGGGGCAGGCGCACAAUUGCGCUUUGCAUUUUGCGUGCCACACACAAUGGCAAAAGUUAAAGCCACCAAAGACGAAAAGUUGCCUGCACACGAACGUGCAGGAAUUGAAGAAAAAGCACAUUAAACAUAAUCAUGGACACAUAAAUAUCCUAGCAGCUCGUCCUGGCUCGGAAGCGUUAUUGAUAUUUGAUUAAAGGCAACAGCAGCAGAGCCAGCAACAGCCAAAGUUUGCAUAGCAAGCAACGUGCACUUCUGCCCAGCAAACGUGCAAACGUGCAUACUCGCACACACCCGCACACACACACACACCCGCACACACCCAAACACCAACAAACUGGCUAGAGCCAUGCACAUUUCGUUGCACUGAUGAAUCAAUAAAAUGCCUGGCACCCAAUGAAA